rnacentral:rRNA from 1 species
GGAAGUAAAAGUCGUAACAAGGUCUCCGUAGGUGAACCUGCGGAGGGAUCAUUACUGAGUGAGGGCCUCUGGCCCGACCUCCAACCCCAUGUUAUCUGACACUGUUGCCUCCGGGGCGACCCGGCCUGCCUUCGGGCGUUUCGGGGCCCCGGGUGGACCAUUCAACUCUGCAUCUUUGCGUCUGAGUAAAUGAUUGAAUCAAUCAAAACUUUCAACAACGGAUCUCUUGGUUCUGGCAUCGAUGAAGAACGCAGCGAAAUGCGAUAAGUAAUGUGAAUUGCAGAAUUCAGUGAAUCAUCGAAUCUUUGAACGCACAUUGCGCCCCUUGGUAUUCCGAGGGGCAUGCCUGUUCGAGCGUCAUUACACCACUCAAGCCUCGCUUGGUAUUGGGCGCCGCGGUCCGCCGCGCGCCUCAAUGUUUCCGGCUGAGCUCUCUGUCUCUAAGCGUUGUGGUUAAAACUAUCCGCUUGCGAGAUCGGGGGGCGUCUGGCCGUUAAACCAUUACUCAAAGGUUGACCUCGGAUCAGGUAGGGAUACCCGCUGAACUUAAGCAUAUCAAUAAGCGGAGGA